rnacentral:RNase_P_RNA from 1 species
AUGCGGAUGAUCGCUUGUGUCUUUAUUGUGCAUAAGAGGAAAGUCCGAACACUUAUGAGCAGGAUGACCGAUAACAUCGGUUCGUGGUAACACGGGGAUAGCGUUACAGAAAAUAACCGCCAUAUAUAAAUUUAUUUAUGUACGGUAAGGGUGAAAAUUUAGGGUAAGAACCUAUAACGAUAGUUGGUAACAGCUGUCGAGAACAAGCCCCAUCUGGUGCAAGACAAACCGUGAAGAGAUUGCUCAUAUCGUUACUAUUCACAGGUAGUUGCUAGAGGUAAAUAGUAAUAUUUAUCGUAGAUAGAUGAUCAUCACUCGUUAAUUCGAGUACAAAAUUCGGCUUAUAGCAUC